rnacentral:rRNA from 1 species
CCGCCGCGGUAAGACGUAGGACGCGAGCGUUAUCCGGAUUUACUGGGCGUAAAGCGCCUGUAGGCGGCUUUGUAAGUUGGGCGUGAAAGCCCCGUGCUUAACGCGGGGAGGCCGUUCAAUACUGCGGAGCUAGAGUACGGCAGAGGGGAGUGGAAUUCCUGGAGUAGCGGUAAAAUGCGCAGAUAUCAGGAGGAACACCAGUGGCGAAGGCGGCUCCCUGGGCCGAGACUGACGCUCAGAGGCGAAAGCUAGGGGAGCGAACAGGAUUAGAGACCCUGGUAGUCCUAGCCCUAAACGAUGGAUGCUAGGUGUGGGGGCGAUGAGUUUCCGUGCCGGAGCAAACGCGAUAAGCAUCCCGCCUGGGGACUACGGCCGCAAGGUUAAAACUCAAACGAAUUGACGGGGGCCCGCACAAGCAGCGGAGCGUGCGGUUUAAUUCGAUGCUACACGAAGAACCUUACCUGGGUUUGACAUGUAGGUGGUAGCGAGGCGAAAGCUGAGCGACCCUUCGGGGAGCCUACACAGGUGCUGCAUGGCUGUCGUCAGCUCGUGCCGUGAGGUGUCGGGUUAAGUCCCGUAACGAGCGCAACCCUUGCUCCUAGUUAUACGUGUCUAGGGGGACUGCCGGCGGGAAGCCGGAGGAAGGUGGGGAUGACGUCAAGUCAGCAUGGCCCUUAUGUCCAGGGCUACACACACGCUACAAUGGCCAGUACAAAGGGUAGCGAAGCCGCGAGGUGGAGCGAAUCUCAGCAAAGCUGGUCGUAGUUCGGAUUGCAGGCUGCAACCCGCCUGCAUGAAGCUGGAGUUGCUAGUAACCGCGCGUCAGCUAUAGUGCGGUGAAUACGUUCCCGGGCCUUGUA